rfam:Tetranychus urticae London genomic scaffold, scaffold_635
CCGUCUAAUGAUGAAAUAUGUUACCGCCCCAGUCUGAACAUAAAGGAUGACCGGUAUUUGCUGAUUAGAC